GAUGAACGCUGGCGGCGUGCCUAAUACAUGCAAGUCGAGCGAACAGACGAGGAGCUUGCUCCUCUGACGUUAGCGGCGGACGGGUGAGUAACACGUGGAUAACCUACCUAUAAGACUGGGAUAACUUCGGGAAACCGGAGCUAAUACCGGAUAACAUGUUGAACCGCAUGGUUCAACAGUGAAAGACGGUCUUGCUGUCACUUAUAGAUGGAUCCGCGCCGCAUUAGCUAGUCGGUAAGGUAACGGCUUACCAAGGCAACGAUGCGUAGCCGACCUGAGAGGGCGAUCGGCCACACUGGAACUGAGACACGGUCCAGACUCCUACGGGAGGCAGCAGUAGGGAAUCUUCCGCAAUGGGCGAAAGCCUGACGGAGCAACGCCGCGUGAGUGAAGAAGGUCUUCGGAUCGUAAAACUCUGUUAUUAGGGAAGAACAAAUGUGUAAGUAACUAUGCACGUCUUGACGGUACCUAAUCAGAAAGCCACGGCUAACUACGUG
rnacentral:rRNA from 1 species